rnacentral:rRNA from 1 species
GACGAACGCUGGCGGCGUGCUUAACACAUGCAAGUCGAACGGAAAGGCCCUGCUUUUGUGGGGUGCUCGAGUGGCGAACGGGUGAGUAACACGUGAGUAACCUGCCCUUGACUUUGGGAUAACUUCAGGAAACUGGGGCUAAUACCGGAUAGUAGCUCCUGCUGCAUGGUGGGGGUUGGAAAGUUUCGGCGGUUGGGGAUGGACUCGCGGCUUAUCAGCUUGUUGGUGGGGUAGUGGCUUACCAAGGCUUUGACGGGUAGCCGGCCUGAGAGGGUGACCGGCAACAUUGGGACUGAGAGACGGCCCAGACUCCUACGGGAGGCAGCAGUGGGGAAUAUUGCACAAUGGGCGGGAGCCUGAUGCAGCAACGCCGCGUGCGGGAUGACGGCCUUCGGGUUGUAAACCGCUUUCGCCUGUGACGAAGCGUGAGUGACGGUAAUGGGUAAAGAAGCACCGGCUAACUACGUG